AUAUCUCUCUGUACGGGAAGGAUGAGAAGGUUCGAUUCGAGCGUCAGCGAGAAAGCGUUGCCGCAGGCAACGACCCGAAGGGCGAAGCG
rnacentral:sRNA from 1 species